GAUGAAGAACGUAGCGAAAUGCGAUAAUUAAUGUGAAUUGCAGAAUUCCGUGAAUCAUCGAGUUUUUGAACGCAUAUUGCGCCCCUUGGUAUUCCGAGGGGCAUGCCUGUCCGAGCGUCAUUGCAACCCUUCAAGCACGGCUUGUGUGUUGGACGGCCGCCCCAGUGUGGGCGGGUCCCAAAUGCAGUGGCGGCGCCGCGAUCCGGGUGCUCGAGUGCAUGGAAACCACGCGCUCGUUAGGCCCCGUCGGGCGCCGGCCGACCUAAUUAUCUUCGUUCUGGUUGACCUCGGAUCAGGUAGGAAUACCCGCUGAACUUAAGCAUAUCAAUAAGCGGAGGA
rnacentral:misc_RNA from 1 species